GUGCUUGCUUUGGCAUCACACAUACUGAAAUUGGAAUGAUACAGAGAUUAGCAUGGCCUCCGUGCAAGAAUGACACACAGAUGCACAGUGUUCCAUAUUUUA